AUCCAGCUGACGAGUCCUAAAUAGGACGAAACGCGCAUCCUGGAU
rfam:Schistosoma mansoni, Puerto Rico, WGS project CABG01000000 data, contig: 0171